rnacentral:lncRNA from 1 species
UUGUGUCUUCUCAAUCCUUUUCCAAGGCAGGCCAGAAAUGGGUAUCCAUGCUAACCCUCAUCUCUGUUGACUUGUUCACAGUAACGAUUCUUCUGAACAUUAUGAAUAUAUUUGAUUUAUCUUUCUUUUUUUAUAUAUUUUUUAUUAUUUUCUGAUUUGAUAUUGAUUUUAGCCCUUAAUCAGCUGGGAUAUACUAAGCCC